rnacentral:rRNA from 1 species
GGGGGCCGCUGUUCCGUGAUUUUGGGGCGAAAGAGCUCGUAGGCGGCUUGUCACGUCGGUUGUGAACCCCCGGGGCCCCACCCCGGGUCUGCAGUCAAUACGGGCAUGCUAGAGUUCAGAAGGGGAGAUCAGUUUUCCUGGUGCAGCGGAGAAAUGCGCAGAUAUCAAGAAGAACACCGGUGGAGAACGCCUUUCUGUGCGCUAAUUCCGACGCUGAGGAACAACAGCGUGGGCAGCCAACAAGAUUAGACACCGUGGUCCUCCACGCCGUAAACGGUGGUCACUAGGUGUGGGCAAUAUUCCACGUUGUCCGUGCCGCAACUAACUUAUUAAGUGCCCCGCCUGGGGAGUACGGCCGCAAUGCUAAAACUCAAAGGAAUUGACGGGCGCCCGCACAAGCGGCGGAGCAUGUGUUCUUAAUUCGACGCACACGCAAAAAACCUUACCAAUGGCUUGACCUUCACCGGACUACCCUGGAGACACGGUCCCCCUUGUGGUAGGUGUACAGGUGGUGCAUGGCUGUCGUCAUCUCCUGUCGCGAGAUGUUGUGUUAAGUCCCGCAACGAGCGCAACCCUUGUCUCGUGUUGCCUCCAGGCCCUUGUGGUGCUGGAGACUCACCGGAGACCACCAGGGUCAACUCGGAGGAACGUGGGGACAACAUCUAGUCCUCAUGCUCCUUAUGUCAUGCGUUGUACACAUGCUACAAUGGCCGCUACAAUGAGCUGCGAUACCGCGAUGUGAAGCGAAUCUCACAAAGCCGGUAUCACUUCCGACUGGACUCUGCAACUCUACCCCAUGAAUUCUGAGUCGCUAGUUAUCGCAGAUAAUCAUUGCUGCGUUGAAUACCUUCCCCGGCCUUCUACACACCGCUCUGUCACGUCCACGAAAGUCGGCAACUCUCCGAAACCCGGCGGCCCAAGCCCCAUUGUGGUAAGGGAUAUUGCCGAAAGGUGGGGACUGGCCAAUUGGGGACCAAAUUCCUAACCAGGGGUAACCCGU